rnacentral:rRNA from 1 species
ACAGAUGAGAGUUUGAUCCUGGCUCAGAACGAACGCUGGCGGCGUGCCUAACACAUGCAAGUCGAACGCUGAGCAC